rnacentral:rRNA from 1 species
GAGAGAGACAUGCGCGCAUAUCAAUAAGCGGAGGAAAAGAAACUAACAAGGAUUCCCUUAGUAACGGCGAGUGAAGCGGGAAGAGCUCAAAUUUGAAAUCUUCAAGGUUUUACCUUGACGAAUUGUAGUUUAAAGAAGUGUUUUCUGCUGAAGUUUUGGUAAAAGUUCUUUGGAAUAGGACAUCAUAGAGGGUGAGAAUCCCGUAUUUGACCAUUAUUUUCAGCUUUGUGAUACACUUUCAAAGAGUCGGAUUGUUUGGGAAUGCAGUCCAAAAUGGGUGGUAAAUUUCAUCUAAAGCUAAAUAUUGGCGAGAGACCGAUAGCGAACAAGUACCGUGAGGGAAAGAUGAAAAGAACUUUGAAAAGAGAGUUAAACAGUACGUGAAAUUGUCAAAAGGGAAGCGUUUGACACCAGUGUUGUUUUCUCGAAAAUCAAUUAAAAAUGGCUCGAUUUUGUAUUGUUGAGACCUUAAAAGCUCACUGUACAUUUUUCGUGUCUUUUUUAAUGCACUUUUCGUUUAACAAGUCAACAUCAGUUUCUUUUGUUGUAAAAGGGUCAUUGGAAGGUGGCUUUCUUUUCGGAGAAAGUGUUUAUAGCCUUUGGCCUCUGCAAUCGGAGAGACUGAGGUCUGCAGCGUAGACUCUUCGGGGUUAGAUACAUUUGUGCUAAGUUAUAGCUUUUAUAGACAACUUGUUGACUAUGAUCAGUCAUGUAGCUUACUCGCUUAUGCUAUUUUACCUACGCUUAGGAUGUUGAGUCGUAGAGCACGCAG